AGCUCCAAUAGCGUAUAUUAAAGUUGUUGCAGUUAAAAAGCUCGUAGUUGGAUUUCUGGCAGGAGCGACCGGUCACGCACUCUGUGCGUGAACUUUUGUUGUCUCUGGCCAUCCUUGGGGAGAUCCUGUUUGGCAUUAAGUUGUCGGGCAGGGGAUACCCAUCGUUUACUGUGAAAAAAUUAGAGUGUUUAAAGCAGGCUUAUGCCGUUGAAUAUAUUAGCAUGGAAUAAUAAGAUAGGACUUUGGAACUAUUUUGUUGGUUUGCGUUACGAAGUAAUGAUUAAUAGGGACAGUUGGGGGUAUUCGUAUUUCGUUGUCAGAGGUGAAAUUCUUGGAUUUCCGAAAGACGAACUACUGCGAAAGCAUUUACCAAGGAUGUUUUCAUUA
rnacentral:rRNA from 1 species